rnacentral:rRNA from 1 species
GUGGGCCCUCGAAAUCCUGUGGCGGGAGGAUUCAGUCUGGAGCGGCGGGCGUGCGGGCCGGAAGACCAGCAGGGCGUCCCCGGAAGGGGGCCGUCCGGUCGCACGCGGUCCCUCCGCGCCAGACGCAUUUGUCUCCCGCCCUAAGGACGCCGCAGCCGGUUGGGUAGUUGCAAACGUGACGGCCUGAGGGCCGGGAAGCCGGCAGGUGGCCGGUGGCGCGCCCCGUGCGCGUCGCCGGUUGUUAGCCGUCCCGGCAGUGGCCCGUCACCCGACCGAGGUGUCGCGAGGUCCCCAGGACCUCACCGUCUCCUCCCCUCGGGGAAGCCGGGACAGAGCGCCGCAGGUGGCUAACGCCGUCCCGUUCGCACCCCCACGGGGUGGUCGGGCGCGCGUGCGCCUCCGUUCCGCGGUGCCGGACCCGUCGGAGGCCGGAGGCUAGCGGCGAGUAGGUCGGUCACCCACCCGACCCGUCUUGAAACACGGACCAAGGAGUCUAACAUGUGCGCGAGUCAAUGGGUCUUGAACAGGCCCAGGGGCGCAAUGAAAGCAAAGGUCGGCGCACGCCGACCGAGUUGGGAUCCCCGCCCCCGCGGGCGGGGCGCACCAACGACCCGUCCUAUCCGGCUCGCCGGUUGGGCGGAGUGUGAGCGUACACGUUGGGACCCGAAAGAUGGUGAACUAUGCCCGGACAGGACGAGGCCAGAGGAAACUCUGGUGGAGGUCCGCAGCGG